rnacentral:rRNA from 1 species
GAUGAACGCUAGCGGGAGGCUUAACACAUGCAAGUCGAGGGGCAGCACGGGGUAGCAAUACUCUGGUGGCGACCGGCAAACGGGUGAGUAACGCGUAUGUAACCUACCCUGUACAGGGGGAUAACCCGGAGAAAUUCGGACUAAUAUCCCAUAACAAUAUUCAGAGGCAUCUUUGGAUAUUUAAAGUUCCGGCGGUACGGGAUGGGCGUGCGUAACAUUAGCUAGUUGGUAAGGUAACGGCCUACCAAGGCUUUGAUGUUUAGGGGUCCUGAGAGGGUGGUCCCCCACACUGGUACUGAGACGCGGACCAGACUCCUACGGGAGGCAGCAGUGAGGAAUAUUGGUCAAUGGGCGCAAGCCUGAACCAGCCAUCCCGCGUGCAGGAAGACGGCGCUAUGCGUUGUAAACUGCUUUUCCAGGGAGAGAAACUUGCGCACGUGUUGCGCAAUUGACGGUACCCUGGGAAUAAGCAUCGGCUAACUCCGUGCCAGCAGCCGCGGUAAAAU